CUGACUUAGAUAUUCUGCAUG
rnacentral:piRNA from 1 species